rnacentral:rRNA from 1 species
CCUCCGGGCGGCAGCAGUGAGGAAUAUUGGUCAAUGGGCGUAAGCCUGAACCAGCCAAGUCGCGUGAGGGAUGAAGGUUCUAUGGAUCGUAAACCUCUUUUAUAAGGGAAUAAAGUGUGGGACGUGUCCUAUUUUGUAUGUACCUUAUGAAUAAGGAUCGGCUAACUCCGUGCCAGCAGCCGCGGUAAUACGGAGGAUCCGAGCGUUAUCCGGAUUUAUUGGGGUUAAAGGGGGCGUAGGCGGCCUUUUAAGGCAGCGGUGAAAGUCUGUGGAUCAACCAUAGAAUUGCCGUUGAAACUGGGGGGCUUGAGUAUGUUUGAGGCAGGCGGAAUGCGUGGUGUAGCGGUGAAAUGCUUAGAUAUCACGCAGAACCCCGAUUGCGAAGGCAGCCUGCCAAGCCAUGACUGACGCUGAUGCACGAAAGCGUGGGGAUCAAACAGGAUUAGAUACCCGAGUAGUC